GGAAGAUAAUGACGGUACUUGAGGAGGAAGCCCCGGCUAACUACGUGCCAGCAGCCGCGGUAAUACGUAGGGGGCUAGCGUUAUCCGGAUUUACUGGGCGUAAAGGGUGCGUAGGCGGUCUUUCAAGUCAGGAGUGAAAGGCUACGGCUCAACCGUAGUAAGCUCUUGAAACUGGGAGACUUGAGUGCAGGAGAGGAGAGUGGAAUUCCUAGUGUAGCGGUGAAAUGCGUAGAUAUUAGGAGGAACACCAGUUGCGAAGGCGGCUCUCUGGACUGUAACUGACGCUG
rnacentral:rRNA from 1 species